UACGUAGGGUGCGAGCGUUAAUCGGAUUUACUGGGCGUAAAGCGUGCGCAGGCGGUCAGUUAAGACAGGUGUGAAAUCCCUGGGCUCAACCUAGGAAUUGCGCUUGAGACUGGCGGGCUCGAGUACGGUAGAGGGGGGUGGAAUUCCUGGUGUAGCAGUGAAAUGCGUAGAGAUCAGGAGGAACACCGAUGGCGAAGGCAGCCCCCUGGGCCUGUACUGACGCUCAUGCACGAAAGCGUGGGGAGCAAACAGG
rnacentral:rRNA from 1 species